rnacentral:rRNA from 1 species
ACUCAAAUGAAUUGACGGGGGCCCGCACAAGCAGCGGAGCGUGUGGUUUAAUUCGAGGCUACGCGAAAAACCUUACCUGGGUUUGACAUCCCCGGAACGAACCCGAAAGGGGGAGGUACCCGCAAGGGACUGGGAGACAGGUGCUGCAUGGCUGUCGUCAGCUCGUGUCGUGAGAUGUUCGGUUAAGUCCGAAAACGAGCGCAACCCUCGGUUCGUGUUACAAGUGUCACGAACGACUGCCUGCGGCAAGCAGGAGGAAGGUGGGGAUGAUGUCAAGUCAGCAUGGCCUUUAUAUCCAGGGCUACACACACGCUACAAUGGUCAGUACAGUGGGUCGCGAAGCCGCGAGGUGGAGCCAAUCCUAAAAAGCUGAUCGUAGUUCGGAUUGUAGGCUGCAACUCGCCUGCAUGAAGUUGGAGUUGCUAGUAACCGCAAAUCAGCACGUUGCGGUGAAUACGUUCCCGGGCCUUGCACACACCGCCCGU